AUUGUGAUUUUACUUAACCUAAGUUACCCAUUCAUUUUAAGAGUACGGUAUGAUGAAAUUGACCAACUUUUCCAUUGAAAUGCAUAUUAACUUAGACUGGCAAUACUUUAAUUCUACAUGGUGAUCCAUGCUAAUUUGUCAUCAUUUUGCCUAAACAUAUAAUGUUUUACACUCUGCUUCCAUUUCCUCUAAACAUGGAUGCAUUUAAGUAGGUAGACAAAUUGAUGUUCAAAACAGUAUGUGUUACUGGAAAGAGAAUCAUCUCAACCAAAAACAGGAAGACUUUGCAUUUUGGUAAUUUUCUUGAGAAUCAGAAAACUUAUACCUGAACUCUCUUUCUGUCUGCAGCACCUCUAAUAUUGACUGCCUGGCAAGUGAGGUGGUGAGGCACAUCUAGAACCUAGCAGCUGCCUUCGUGAAUCUUACAUUUCUCAAUGUUUACAAAAGACCCUUCUGGAAGUUUGAUUGAGACUGCAUACAAGUUUGAGAUGGGUGAUCGACGGCCACAACCUGAUGCCUUUGCUUCGGGGACAUGUCCAGCACUCAGAGCAUGAGUUUCUGUUCCACUACUGUGGUGCAUACCUCCACGCUGUGCUCUAGCACCCACUGGACAGUGAGACAGUGUGGAAGGUUCACUAUGUGACACCAGUCUUCCAGCCACCAGGAGAUCAAGCCUGCUAUCAGAGCAUGUUUUGCCAGUGUUCAGGCCAAUGGGUCACCUACCACGACCCUCCUCUGCUCUUUGAGCUCACCAGAGACCCCCUCGGAGUUCACACCCCUAACACACGACGCAGAGCCCUUGAAUGAUACAGUGAUCGAAACAGUGGCCAGCGCCCUAAAGGAGCACAAGAAAACCGUCCUUCUGGUCCAGAAGCAGCCAUCAGAAUUGAAUCGUAACAAUAUAUGGCUGAAGCCUUACUGUGGGGUAUUCCCAUGCUGUCUGUGUGACAAGGAAGGGGGACGCCUUAGUUGAGGGGUCAUGACAAGAAGCCACGGUGGAGAACAGGCAGCCAAAGUCUGCUAAUUUUAGCUCUUUCCCGUUUUCCAGGAAUGCAUUUGAGUGCCAAUAAAUCCAUCUAUCGUUCCUGAUAAUCAAAUGUCUGUUGGAGGUGACGAUCUCCACUAAUUUCUUUUCAAUUCUUGAGGAUAAAUGUUUAUCUCUUUUCCAAGUUUUCAGACAUCUCUUUCAGGGCUAGGACACGUGCACUGACGUCCAUUUGUCCCAGGAGCUCUGUUGCUCUUCAAAGUAAACUCUACUUAUAAAGACCCAUGUACAAACAAGUCAUUGAUCAGGAGAGGCCAAACACGCAGCAUUUAAUAAUAAUGCAUUGAAAGCAUCCAUCCCAAAGUGGUCACUAAGCCAAGGGAAGGAUUUAUUUUUGUCCGCAGUCAAGAUAAAUUGAGUCAAGAGUGGUACAGCUUUGAGCCUAUGGUAGUUUACAUAGCAGCUGGUCGCCUUAUGGUCUGGGAGGCAGUCCAGUCAUUGACGAAACAUUGCCCAGAGCAAGGUGAUCCCGGAGACCAAAAAGAAGUGGGGACCAAACACCUGGGAGGGUCAUCAGCAUCGGCUUUCCCCUGAGGAUGUGCCAGACCUUGAUGGAGUAUCUUAUUUUCCUCUUACUCCCCAUUUAUGCUUAAGUAUAAUUCCUGGCAGUUUCCUAGGGCUGCCUUAACAAAUCACCUCAAAUGCGGUGGCUUAAAACAACAGAGAUUUAUUUUCUCUCAAUUAUGGAGGCCAGCAGCCCCAAAUUCAAGGUAUUGGUAGGGCCAUGCUUCCCCUGAAAUUUUGAUAAGGUCACAUCCACAUUUCCAAAUCAGGUAGCAGGAUUUAGGACAUCAGCAUGUCAUUUGCGGGGUUAGAAUUCAAGCAACUCCUCCCCUAUAUAAUGGAUAAAAUAUCUGGGGCUUGGAAAUGUUCUGUAAUGUGCUCAGGAGAACACAGCUUGUUAAGUUAUUGGACUGAGACUGGCCCCCUGGUCAUACUAACCCCAAACUCCGAUGCACACCUAUCCCAUGAUGCCUUGCAGGCUGUAAUCCCAGGAGGAACACAAUUAUGUGUGUUUGAUCCCUUUUAACAUGACUCUAUUCUUUAUUGUCUAUACUAAGGAGCAAAUGGAGACUAAAAAUCAAAUGCAAAUCACUGUAUUAAUAUUGGAUAUCGAAUAAAGAUUUAUUUGACUCC